GUUCCCUCAUUAUGCUCCACAAAGCAGACAAUCAGACAGAUUCAUCUGUGAAAAAUCUCACUCCUCUUCCAGUUUGUGCCUACUGGGAAACAGCAUCACCUGCGUCUCAAAUACUGGGAUUGCACAUGGUGCCAAGAAAAAUCUUAGCCUCCAGACCAGCCACCAAUCGAGGGGUCCCCGAUGUGCAGCAGGAUUUUGGAUGACAUUCAAAAGAGCUGAGGCCAUGCCACCUCAAACAGUCC